GAUGAACGCUGGCGGCGUGCCUAAUACAUGCAAGUCGAGCGAACGGACGAGAAGCUUGCUUCUCUGAUGUUAGCGGCGGACGGGUGAGUAACACGUGGAUAACCUACCUAUAAGACUGGGAUAACUUCGGGAAGCCGGAGCUAAUACCGGAUAAUAUUUUGAACCGCAUGGUUCAAAAGUGAAAGACGGUCUUGCUGUCACUUAUAGAUGGAUCCGCGCUGCAUUAGCUAGUUGGUAAGGUAACGGCUUACCAAGGCAACGAUGCAUAGCCGACCUGAGAGGGUGAUCGGCCACACUGGAACUGAGACACGGUCCAGACUCCUACGGGAGGCAGCAGUAGGGGAUCUUCCGCAAUGGGCGAAAGCCUGACGGAGCAACGCCGCGUGAGUGAUGAAGGUCUUCGGAUCGUAAAACUCUGUUAUUAGGGAAGAACAUAUGUGUAAGUAACUGUGCACAUCUUGACGGUACCUAAUCAGAAAGCCACGGCUAACUACGUG
rnacentral:rRNA from 1 species